rnacentral:rRNA from 1 species
AUGCAGCGACGCCGCGUGAGGGAUGACGGCCUUCGGGUUGUAAAUCUCUUUUCAGGCAGGGCGAAGCGCAAGUGACGGUACCUGCAGAAGAAGCGCCGGCCAACUACGUGCCAGCAGCCGCGGUAAGACGUAGGGCGCGAGCGUUGUCCGGAUUUAUUGGGCGUAAAGAGCUCGUAGGCGGCUUGUCGCGUCGACUGUGAAAACCCGCGGCUCAACCGCGGGCCUGCAGCCGAUACGGGCAGGCUAGAGUUCGGUAGGGGAGACUGGAAUUCCUGGUGUAGCGGUGAAAUGCGCAGAUAUCAGGAGGAACACCGGUGGCGAAGGCGGGUCUCUGGGCCGAUACUGACGCUGAGGAGCGAAAGCGUGGGGAGCGAACAGGAUUAGAUACCCUGGUAGUCCACGCUGUAAACGUUGGGCGCUAGGUGUGGGGGACCUCUCCGGUUCUCUGUGCCGCAGCUAACGCAUUAAGCGCCCCGCCUGGGGAGUACGGCCGCAAGGCUA